AUGAAGCCCAUUAGUCAGGCUGAUGUGGCACUGCUUAACACCUCGCAGAUAACAGUGUCAGUUGGUAACGUUGUGAUCCUAUGUGGAGCCAUGUGGGGUCCAUCUGCCAUUGAAAGAAAAAAUGCCUGCCUUUUUUUCUGGCCUUAUCUUCCCCGUACUGAAACAGAGCUGAGGUGCACAUGCUUCGGCACCGGCGAGAUCCGCAUGCCGCCGGUGAUGUCGCUCGCGAGCAUCAGGAGGCAGAGCGCGGCGUCCUCCUGCUCCUCCUCUAACGAGCUCAGCAUCGGCUGCGGCGACAUGGGGGCCGGCGCCGCCACGCGCAUCGAACUGCGCCUCCGCCUGGGCAGCGCGGCCAACACAGCAACCGGGAGUACUCCAGCAACCGGCGGCCACCUCCAUCUCGUCAUGGGCCUCCGGCAGCGCCUUGCCGAGCGAGCGGCCGUACAGGAAGACACAUGGCUGCCCGGGGGAGGAUCUGAGGCGGCAAGCAUGACCAUUGGGGAUCUGGGGAAGAACUGA
rnacentral:rRNA from 1 species